AAAAAAUUUUGGUUUCCAUGAAUCACGAUGCAUUACCUUCUUGGUUUCUAUGAAUCUCUCUCUCUGUUUCUCAGUCUCUGCAACUCUCGCCUUCAAUCGCGUAAAGCAAGUUCAAAAUCCUUGCGUGUCCGAAACUUUCACAGGGACUCCAAGUUUGUUUAAGAGCUUGGGGUUGGGUAGGAGAUUGAUAGUGGCCAGAGUGAGUGCAGCAGAGAUAAGUUUGGUGCUGCCUCUUCUUCCAUGUUUAUGAGGAGUGGUCUCUCUGGGAGUCAACCUGGGAAAGCCUAGCGAAUUCUUCGACGGCAUAUUCGACUGCAUCCAUGAGAUCACUGCUGCUCUCCCCUUCACUAGGAUGAUCGAUUCCUCAGCUUACAGAGUCGAUACCAUGUCCCGUCUCGCCCAAUGGAAGAUCGACAGCUUGGCUUCCUGCACGUAACGGAAAUCCGAUCCUUUCAAGAUGGGCAACUGGAAUUGGCAUUUAUCGGAAGAGAAGAAUCGGGUAUUGUCCAUUAAACUACACCCAGAAAUAUCAAAUCUAACGAGAGACAACCCCCCAAUUGCAUCCUUCAUCAUUCUAGUCAUAUGUUCUUUGGGAGAUUGAAAGCCACUGGUUCAUCCGGGAAUAACAAACAAACAGAUAAAAAGUAACAACGAUUUUUUUUGGGUGAUUGAUACUCCGUUAACCGGGAAGUUCAUUAUUGACGUCGAGUUCCUUGAUUUGAAGAUCUCAUCGCCAAACUAUACAGGCUUUCACAGACAUGUCAAUUGAAGCUUGCCAGGCUUUCCUGAACUACAUCUAUGGCAACAUCCAACAGGAUGAGUUUCUGACCCACCGGCUUGCACUUCUCCGUGCAGGUGAAAAGUACGACAUCUCUGACCUGAAAAAAGCAUGCAAUGAGAGCCUUCUAGAAGACAUUGACACUAAAGGCUUCUAAAAUUUGCUCAAGGAAAAGAUUUGAUGAACAUCGACAUAUCAGGAAUCCUUGCAUUAGAAGAGCUUCAUAUGGUUUCUCAUGGUAUAGAAGCCAAAGAUGAACAAUAUCUGAUUGCCCUGAAACCUUGCUUGUAAGGAGUUGCUUCAUAAGGAGUUGUUUUCAUCAGGAAUCCUUGCAUUAGAAGAGCUUCAUAAGGAGUUGCUUGUAAUCCAUGUACAGGUAGGGGUGUUUUAGGAUUAUCAAUUCCUGGUUGCCCUGAAACGUUCCAAUUAUUCCAGCAAGAUGAACAAUCCGGGGAAGAAGGUUGUAGAAGCCAAAGAUCAGGGGAUGAAGGCAGUAGCAGUCAAAGAUCAAGGGAACAAGAAAUUGUCAUAGAUCAAUAAAUUGUAUUUGAACAAUUUGCAAAUUGCAAGUGAAAAAACAGUGUU